CCAAUAGCGUAUAUUAAAGUUGUUGUGGUUAAAAAGCUCGUAGUUGAACCUUGGGCCUGGCUGGCCGGUCCGCCUCACCGCGUGUACUGGUCCGGCCGGGCCUUUCCCUCUGUGGAACCUCAUGCCCUUCACUGGGUGUGACGGGGAAGCAGGACUUUUACUGUGAAAAAAUUAGAGUGCUCCAAGCAGGCCUAUGCUCGAAUACAUUAGCAUGGAAUAAUAAAAUAGGACGUGCGGUUCUAUUUUGUUGGUUUCGAGGACCGCCGUAAUGAUUAAUAGGGACAGUCGGGGGCAUCAGUAUUCAAUUGUCAGAGGUGAAAUUCUUGGAUUUAUUGAAGACUAACUACUGCGAAAGCAUUUGCCAAGGAUGUUUUCAUUAAUCAGGAACGAAAGUUAGGGGAUCGAAGACGAUCAGAUACCGUCGUAGUCUUAACCAUAAACUAUGCCGACUAGGGAUCGGAUGAUGUUAUUUUUAAUGACUCAUUCGGCGCCUUACG
rnacentral:misc_RNA from 1 species